AUGAGCGUGGGCGUGUCCAUCCCGCGUCCUCACUACCGCCACAGCUUCUCCAGGAGGCUCGCCCACCGUGCUGCAAAGCAGCAGGCUCAGACCUGGAGGAGGAAGAGGAGAUCUGGGGGUCCAGGCAGUGGCUCGGUUGAUGCAAGGUUCAAACAGGAGAAGAAGAACUAUCUUGCCUGCCUGAAAUUGAUAGGAGCUCAGCCUGAAUGUCUGAUGUUCUUGAAGAAAUACUUGGAAUGUAGGAUGGAGAGAGAGAUAUCUCACCAGGAGAAGAAGUACUAUCUUGCCUGCCUGAAAUUGAUAGGAGCUCAACCUGAAUGUCGGGUGUUCUUGAAGAAAUACCUGGAAUGUAGGGGGGAGAGAUGGGAAGGAGGAUCCGACAAGUUAGCCCCCGCAAUUGUGUUGUUGGAGAACUUCUGCGAGCUUAGUAAAAUAAUGAAUCUUCAUCUCCCAUGUUUUCUCUCAAAAAUGGAGCGCGGAUCGCAGGAGCAAGGAGCUGUGUGGUACGGGCUUCUUGCCAAUGGACAUCCUAUUGCUUAUAUCCUAUCAGUAGCACCAUGCCUCCUUGUCGCCCUAUUUGUCAAAAGCAUGAGAUUUAUUUCAUUUGGUCCAACUGGUUCUGAUCAUAGCAAGCUACUACAUAAAAGCCAACCUAUAUCUUCAACCUUCUCUUGCAUAGGGCAGGCAGUGGUUCUUGGUUGCCUUCAAAAUACUCGACACCUCUUUAGGCCUUGUUUGGUAGAAGUGGAUUGGGGAGGGUUUGAGUGGAUUUUCCACGCGUGGCCCAGAACCCCCUGCGAUCAUCUUCGGUCCAUUUGGUGCACGAGGUUUCACUGGCCCAGUCCACCCGAUUCCCCUCCAAUUCACCCCAACCCACGUGGCUCAGAAGGCACGCCUAGGCCCUCGUGGAACUGGAUCCACGCCGAAGACCGUAGCCUCCUCCUUGCGCGGCCGCCUCCUCGAUGCGCCGGCGCCGGCCACAGCCCCCUCCUUGCGCUGCCGCCCGUAGCCUCCUCGCAACGCCAUCUGCAGCCUCCUCGCGAUGCCGUAUGCAGCCUCCUCGACGUGUCGCCACCGGCCACAGCCUCUUGA
rnacentral:rRNA from 1 species